rnacentral:rRNA from 1 species
GACGAACGCUGGCGGCGUGCCUAAUACAUGCAAGUUGAGCGCUGAAGGUUGGUACUUGUACCAACUGGAUGAGCAGCGAACGGGUGAGUAACGCGUGGGGAAUCUGCCUUUGAGCGGGGGACAACAUUUGGAAACGAAUGCUAAUACCGCAUAAAAACUUUAAACACAAGUUUUAAGUUUGAAAGAUGCAAUUGCAUCACUCAAAGAUGAUCCCGCGUUGUAUUAGCUAGUUGGUGAGGUAAAGGCUCACCAAGGCGAUGAUACAUAGCCGACCUGAGAGGGUGAUCGGCCACAUUGGGACGGAGACACGGCCCAAACUCCUACGGGAGGCAGCAGUAGGGGAUCUUCGGCAAUGGACGAAAGUCUGACCGAGCAACGCCGCGUGAGGGAAGAAGGGUUUCGGAUCGUAAAACUCUGUUGGUAGGGAAGAACGUUGGUGAGAGUGGAAAGCUCAUCAAGUGACGGUAACUACCCAGAAAGGGACGGCUAACUACGUG